GAGGGGAGUGCCCUGCUACCCACCUGGAGAGCGGGGAGAGCCUUCCUCGGGGAGCGGCCUGCACUACCAGGGGAGGUCACGAUGGAGAGAACCAGCGGCGAGGGUGGACAGAGUAUACUCCUUGACCCCUGGGCUUUGACCAUGAUUAUGUGACUUGCUUUGGCCCGUGGGAUGUUAGCAGACAGGACACAAGCAGAGGCUUGAAAAGUGCCUGCAAGUUGGAGUUUUCUUCUCUGCUCCUGCCUUUGGCCAUAAGAAGAACAUUUCCUGGGUAACCACUGGACAAGGAAGAUACGGAGACACAUAGAACAGACCUGAACCUGGCCUGUAGCUUGGAACCAAGCCCAGCUGAGCCUGGCUUAGAUUAGCCAACUUGCGAUGUGAUAUUUUUGCUUGAAGACUUGUCAAGUCCUCUCAGACAACCUGAAUGAUUGAUCUAAACCAUCCACUCUACUGGGCAGUCCUGGUGCUGAUUCUGGCCUUCUUUGCACUCACUUCCAAGACAUUUGCAGAAGUGAAAAAACCAGAUAAUCCACCAGAUAUACGUUUGGUUGACAAGGUCAAACAUCUGAAUAUAUGGAAGAUUCUGGAAGCAACAAUGGCUUAAACAAGAUGACAGCCUCUACAUUCCAGGCAGCAGGAUAAAGAAGAGGACAAGGAAAAGGAAGAAAAGGAACCUGCGUUGACAGACACUCCACCAUCUCUCAGUGGAUUCACCUGGAACCCAGUGCCUCCAGGACAGCUGUAACAUGGGAAGAGAAAGCACAGAGGCAGGACACCAGCUCCUAAAUGCCUCAGCCUACAAAUGGCAUUCACCAUUUCUACUCUCAGCCCAUUGGCCAGAACUAGUCACCUGGCCUCCACCUAACUAACAAGGAGGCUGGGAAAUGUGGAGAAGCAUUUGAUUAUUAUCAAUGAGCAAUAAAUGUCUCUGCCAUAUGGGUUAAAACUGUUGAAUUCAGUUAAAAAUUGUAUAUGUGUAUAUGCACAGGCAAUGAUUAAUUGCUAUAGCAAAUUGAAGUUUUGACUGAACACUCUGUCAGUAUUUCACAUCCUUUUCUUCCUCCCAACUGACUUACAGGUGGCUUGGAGCCUCAGAUUUCUUCUAUCCCUUCUAUUCCUUCUAUUCCUUCCAUCUUCUAUUCCUGCUAUCAAUUUGUGCUUGACUCUGUGGAUCCACAGUCUUAAAGAAAAGCCAUAGGAACUGAUGCUAGAUUUUCCCAUCUGGCACAGAGGAGGCCUCCUUUUAAGCAAUAAUAAAAAUAGCCUCCAUUUAUAUUUCGUUUUUCCUCCUUUGUCUCUUCUAUUGAAAGAGCCAGUUAAACAAAGUGUGUGCUUUCGGUGCCUGUUAUGUGCUCACUUUAAGAUUUAAUCAACCCUCUGAACCUGCAGCACAACUGCCUCAUAAUGUUAAGUUAAUAUAUUGAGAUCAGCUCAAACCCAUCAUUCCCAGGGGUGGUUUUGUUUAAAGGCUAGUUGUAACUGAAUUUCUAAACAACUGCCAAGCUUUCAAGGUACCAAAAUAAACAUUAUCCAAAC
rnacentral:lncRNA from 1 species